rnacentral:rRNA from 1 species
UACGGAGGGUGCAAGCGUUUAUCCGGAUUCACUGGGUUUAAAGGGUGCGUAGGUGGGUUGGUAAGUCAGUGGUGAAAUCUCCGUGCUUAACAUGGAAACUGCCAUUGAUACUACUGAUCUUGAAUUUUCUGGAGGUAAGCGGAAUAUGUCAUGUAGCGGUGAAAUGCUUAGAUAUGACAUAGAACACCAAUUGCGAAGGCAGCUUACUACAGGGACAUUGACACUGAGGCACGAAAGCGUGGGGAUCAAACAGG